rnacentral:rRNA from 1 species
GACGAACGCUGGCGGCGCGCUUAACACAUGCAAGUCGAACGAAGUGGCGAACGGGUGAGUAACGCGUAAUCAACCUGCCCUUCAGAGGGGAACAACAGUUGGAAACGACUGCUAAUACCGCAUACUGAUGGUGGGGAUGCCGCCUGAUUAGCUAGUUGGAGGGGUAACGGCCCACUAAGGCGAGGAUCAGUAGCCGGUGUGAGGGGAUGGACGGCCACAUUGGGACUGAGACACAGCCCCGACUCAUACGGGAGGCAGCAGUGGGGAAGCUUCCGCAAUGGACGAGAGUCUGACGAGGCAACACCGCGUGAGUGAUGACGGCCUUCGGAUUGUGAAGCUCUGUUAAUCGGGACGCGGUACCGGAAUAGAAAGCCACGGCUAACUACGUGCCGGCAGCCGCGGUAAUAC